AGUAUCGGGAAACUGGGGGGGUAGGGGUUGUCGCGUGACCUUCGAAGGGGCGUGCACGCCCAAGUGCUCUCUCUCAAUCCACCUCACCCCUUUGUGCAUCACCGCGUGGGCCACCUUUUUGGCUUGUUUCAAAGAGGUUUGGGUCGCGUUUUUACACACGCCUUUAUGUAUAGAAUGUCUUACUUUUUGCGGUCACACGCAAUAAAUAAAUACAACUUUCAACAACGGAUCUCUUGGCUCUCGCAUCGAUGAAGAACGCAGCGAAAUGCGAUACGUAAUGUGAAUUGCAGAAUUCAGUGAAUCAUCGAAUCUUUGAACGCACCUUGCGCCCCUUGGUAUUCCGAGGGGCACACCCGUUUGAGUGUCGUGAACACAUCCUCAACCUUCUUUUGGUCUUUUGACCAUGGAAGGCUUGGACUUUGGAGGUCUUUCAUUGCUGGUAUCCUUUUAAAGCCAGCUCCUCCUAAAUGAAUCAGUGGGAUCCGCUUUGGUGAUCCUCGACGUGAUAAGCAUUAUUCUACGUCUUGGGGUUUUCACAGCAACCUGCUUCCAACCGUCUUUUAAACAAAAGACAAUGUUCGGGGUUUCGACUCGACCCACAAAAACCUUUGACCUCAAAUCGUGGUGAGACUACCCGCUGG
rnacentral:misc_RNA from 1 species